AUUAAAGAUGGCAGUCCUGGAGGAAGCUGGGAAUUUCUCUCUCCCUUGAUUUUGCCCAAAGCUCAAAUUGUCCCUCUCCCCUCAGCAAAACCAAUCAUCGCUGAAAGAAGCAAGCUCUCUCGUUAGCACUUUUAAGGACUCAACAUUUUUUUUAAGUUGAGCCCCUUCGUUGGCGCCUAUCCCUUAAUUAAGAUGGCCGGUUUGCUACUUUAUACCCUCGCUGUCGUCAAAGAUGGCAAAACCCACUCACCAAUGUCCGAGGAGAGUGCCGUUGAGGGGCGGGACUGCCACGGUUUGCUGACCUCUGAUAGGGAGGGAGAAAGCUUUCCCCACCCCAUUGCUCAACCUUCCCCUGGUAGAAAAGAACACUUCCCGAUGUAGCAUGCGAGGCAGUGUGCAGCUCAGAACAGAGGCGAGAACUGGGCUCGGAAAGCAAGAAGAGCCGGGGUUGAGCAAAGAGGAGGAUGGCGUGGAAAGAAGUGUGGGAGAGAUGCUGAAGAUUGGAGGUUGUUAAGGAUGGGCAGACCUUGAGAAGUGCCCGGGAGCUUCUCCUCCUUUCUCCCUCUCCCCACAGAUUCCUUCCUAAGGUCAUCUGGCUUUUUGGACAAAGCGUGCCCGGGGGUUGCGUUUGGGUGGUCCUGCUAUUCUUCCUCUCCAUGGAUGACCAAAGCCAUAUAAGGAAAGGAAGAGGACUCUAUUUUCUGCAACCUACAACUGCUGAUUUCUAACCAGCUUAUGGUAUGCUAGAGGGAGCUUAAAAUACUAUCUCCCUUUCAUAUCAUGACUUGAAAUUGGCUUCAUUUUAGGAAUACACUGGAUGAAUGUAACUGGAUUUUUCUUAUGGGAAGAAUUGUGUUAAGGUGGUUGUUUUUCCCCUCCUCACCAUGUGGGGGCUAACAACCAAUUAAUUAAAUUGAUCCAAAACUGUAAGAGAUAAGUGUUUGCAUAUGUGACAAAGCUUAUAAUAUGUGUUCUCCCUCUCUUUCUCUGUUGUAACUAAUUUCAAACCACGAGACCAAGUUGGUUAACAUCUCUCUUGUCUAACUUUUCCCAAGUUCAUAUACAGUGAUAAUCCCUACAGCAAGUAAUCGCUUAGAUUGAGUCUCAACUUGCUUCAGGUUCUAUGCCAACUUUAGUAGGAACUGGCUGAUCUCAAAAAGCUGAGCAGGAGUGCCUGAUUAACACUUGGAAAGCCAAAACUUUAGGAAAGCUGUAAAAAAUAUCCUGAAUCUGGGAAUAAAACAGCAAACUGCUUCUGUAAUGCUUCCAAGAAAACUUUGUGGACAUAAACACUGCAGGAAUCAACCCUUUUCUUUUGGCUUCCCUGAUCUGAGCGUGGGUUAUGCUGUAAACAUGGGGAAAGAUAAAUGUGAAGGCCUGAGACUUUCUCCUUCAUGUGGACAUUUUGGGACAUGUGUCAUGCAAAUUUGGACAUAUCCUAUUGCUCUAGCCUUUCUCGGCUCUGUCAUCUAGCUCCAAGCUGGAAGAAAGCAUGUGAGUGAAGAAGCAGUAUGUAAAGAUGGCUGUUCCUCAUGGUUUGUCUGUCUUCUGGGAGAGUUACAAGAGGAUUGAACUGGCAAAAAGGAUGUUGAAGCAAAAGAGGGGCCAAUUAUGAAAGCACAGAAUCCGGCCCAUAAAAACAAGAGGACAAGGCCAGAAGCUGAUACCUUGGGAUGUAUUUUGUUAACUAGAUCAUAGAAGCUUAGAUAUUUAGGCCCUCCCGAGUCCCACCCUUCCAUAGUGCAAAACAUCCAAAUUUAAACAUCCCUUAUAGGAGGCUGUGUACGGUCCAGCUGAAGUUAUCUACAAAGAAGAGCCAUCACCUUCCUUCGUCAUAAGCUUCAGUGCUGAUUAUCUCUUGUUAAGAAUUCUUUUUCUCGUGUUCAGUUGAAAUCUGCUUCCUUAUACUUUAUAUCUAUUACCCCCUGUCCAGCAGAUUGAAAUGCGAGUAAGGCGGUCUUGACUUUAUACUACGUGAUACUUUUGGGCAUUUGAAGAGAGCUACUAGAUCCCUGCUCCAUGUUGUCUUUUCAAGACCCAGUUCAAUCUUUACUCUUAUGAGUUAGUUUCUAUCCCUACCACUGCCACCAUGCAGUAAACAUAGUAUGGCUUUGUACUUUGCCUCAGUUGCAAGCAUCCUGAUGCUGCUGGGUCUAUGGCAAGGAUGAGCAGAAAGUAGAUUUGGAUCCAUUGAACAAAUGUAGAUGGGGGAGGGAGUCCUUGUUAAAUGUUGGUGGCAGCAGCAACAGGAACAAAAUAGCCACUUGCUGGAAGUGAAGUGAACCGAGCAUAAUAUGGAUUUUUUUGGAUGGAGAGUGACCCAUACAGGUAGUCCUCGACUUAGGACCAUAAUUGAGCCUGCAAUUUUAGUUGUGAUGGUCAUAAAUUGGAUUGCCACAUGAUCACGGACAAUUUUACAAGCUUUUUUUGCGGAGGGGAGAUCGUUAAGUGAAUGCUAUGGUCGUUAAGCAAACCCAUUGUUUGCUAUGGCUGUUUUUUUGCCAGAAACUAGAAAUAAAGGCUGGUUUUCAACAAAUAUGAUAUAAAUUGUGGUCACGUGACUGCAGGAGGUUGCAAAUGACUACAUGCAGGCUGGUUGUUAAUGCGCACAAUACAGUCACAUGAUCUUGGGGGAGGCAGAUGUUAGAACUUGAAAUCCAGGUUGCAAUUAGCUUUUUCGAACUCUGUUGUAACUUCAAACAGUCGCUAAGUGACUGGUCUUAAGUCGAGGACUCCGUGUAUAUUCAUUUCUGAAUGCCAUCACAAAUUCCUGCCUUUUAAGUUGCAUCCUAAUUGAUGCUUUGAUUUUCUGCUAACAGACAUGCUUGAUGGAAGGCGAAAGAAAGGGUAAUGCACAUCUGAAUCCCUCUCUCUGCUGGACCAUGUAGAGAGGAGCUCAAAGUGUAUCCAAAAUAUAUAUAUAUAAAAUAGAGCAUUGGGAGCAGGAUGGCAGAAAGUCAGUGCUGGUGGACUCCAGGUGACAAGUCGGAGCAUGUCCUUCCCAUGGAUGAAAACCCCUCCCCCUUUUAAAGAUUAUAGUUGUUGCUAACCUCAUGGGCAGAUAUUAAGAACGAUUGCCCGCUCAGCUGCUUGCUGCUCUUUAGCAACUGCAAUAAUAUUUAUAAAUAAUAUUGCACAAUGCACAAAAGUUCCUUAGCUUGAGCCUGGCUAUGAAAACGGGUUGAAUUACUUACCACAAAGUAUUUGUAAGUAAUACUUUGCUGAAGGAAGAAUGGGGUGCUGGCGUUUGGCCCCUUCAGUUAACUGUCUUGAAAAGUUUACUAGACGUGCUCUCUCAAAGUCAUCAUAUUAACAGCUUGUCACUUAUAUAUGCACAUAGGAGUAGUUCUUGGAUUGCUUGAUUAAUUUUGAAGCCAGUAGAAUUGCUGAAUUCACCUUUUCCCCUCUUUUCUCACUUUUUCCUGUUUCUACAGUAUGUAUAUAUCUGUGCUUGGGUGCUGAUACUUGCCCUAGCCUAAUGAAGAAUUUUGUGGAAGUCUAGAAGGUGAGAAAAUACCUUUCUCUUUGCUGCUAGCCUUAUAAGCCCCUCCUACCUUGGUCUUGUGGCAGAGUAAGAGCCCAGUUCAAAAUAAAGAUGAUAAUAGGCAAGGCUGUGUAUCUUCGUCUGGGAUUUGCUGUAAAAUUUAGCUUCCCAAGAAAGCCAUUUUUACAGUUUUACGUGAAAUCCUAUUUUCCUCCCUCCAUUCCUCUUUCCUCCAUGUCUUCGAUCCCCUCCCUCCCAACCAUUCUCUUCAUAAUCCCUUCCUUUCAUUUUAUAUGUCCUUUCUUUCUUUUUGAGCCCUCUCUCCCUUUCCAUCUUUUGUUUUCCCAGCCAAAUUCUCUUCCCAGAGACCAUCCCUUAUAGACCACUUGAAAUUGAUACACAGGCAACAUGGAGCUUAUUCAUGUUCCUGCCUCUUGGCAAUUUCACAAGCUUUGGGAAAUGGCAAAAAUGUGAAUCAUAUUUUUUAAAAAAUAUCCUGCAACACUUGCAAUUGGUAAUGGGGUAGGGACCAUCUGAAGGCUUAUUUUUAAUUUAAAUUAAUUUAUUAUUUGAUUAAAAACCUUUAUUUUGCACCAUCAAUGCUUAUUUACAUUGCACAUUUAAACCAGUUUUUCCCUAGUUGUCAAGAUCCCUGAUCAGAAGACCCCGAUAAUUAAUUCUGUAAAGGGGCUUCCAGAAUCCUUAGCAAGUCUUCCAGUGAAUUGUUUUGUUUUCAUCCUGGUUAUUUGAAGGAAAUGUUAAUUCAUUAAGAAAAAUGUAGUUAGACUUGAGUGAUCAGUUGCUCAACAACAUAGAAUUUUUUCGCAGCCGUGAUAGAACAAUUAUGUAGAAAGAAUGAUGUUGGCUCUAUUCUACUGGAGAGAAUUAAAUCCCAAUUCAAUAUUUCAUUAUUUGAAUGGAUAAACUCUGCCCCUCACUCUUUUUUUCUGUCUCAUCUAUUUUAUAAGAUGGCUGAGGGAUUUUUUUAAAAAAAGAAUGGGAGGGCCAUCAUAUGGGUCUGCCUUAGGCAUGAAAACCAACUAGGUGACUUUGGAUUAAUUAUCAGAAGACUGAAUUCUAGUCCCACCUUAGGCAUGAUUAUGGGCUGAGAGACUAUGACUGGCCCAAGGUUACCCACCUGGCUUUGUGGCUAAGGCAGGACUUAACCAUCUUCCAGUUUCUAGCCUGAUGUUUUAACCCUGCACCAAACUGUUUCUCUGUGGGUUUUUUUUUUUUUUUUUUUGAAGUUUUUAUUUGUCUCCUUGCACAAAUUAUUCCAGACUGUCUCAUUACUUGGGUGGUUUUCAUGUUUAUCACACACACCGCAGCAUUGGUAUGACCCCACUUGUGAUUUUGUGUUCCACGGUUGCUGAAAUUAAGCAAAGUUGAAAAAGGGGGAAGAAUAGGAUAUCUCAUAGAAAUAAUUUUUCAUCCCCACCCCCAAGAAAAAAGAGGAAAUAUAGAUUAAAAGGGUGGCCAAAUACUUAGCUGGUUAUAUUAUACUUUGCAGUUGGAAUAGAAGACAUUGUAAAAAUAAUAAAAUGGCUCAAACCCAAGCUCUGCUGACAGCUGCUAGAAUUUUAUGGUUGCAGUGUAUGCUGGGAAAUGUAGUUUUUGUGAGUAGGAAGUGAGCUUAGUUCCUUUCAGCUGUCUCAGUAGAUGACAUUUGAAAUGUUUUCUUGCAAUCCCACUGCCACCCCUAGGAAACAUUUCCACACUGACAGUGUCAUUUCCAUUUUGGAUGGCCGUAUUAAGUUUGUGUGAAUUAAAACUUGGCUUGUGCCCUUUUCUGUUUGCAGAGGUUUUGUAAAUGGUCACAAAUAAACACAAUCUUCUUAUUCUUUUAUCUUACCCUUUCGACAGCGGAAAAAGCUUACAUUUCUGAUGCAAUUCUGUCUGGUUAGCAUAGCCCAGGAGUAGGCAACCUUGGCUCUUUUAUGAUUUGUGGACUUCAACUCCCAGAAUUCCUGAGCCAGCAUGGCUCAGCUUGGAAACCUCUCCCUGACCUGUCAGCAUGGCUGGCUCAAGAAUUCUGGGAGUUGAAGUCCAUGAGUCAUAAAAGAGCCAAGUUUGCCUACCCAUGGCAUAGCCUAAAAGACUUUUUCCCUCAUCUUCAAUUGGUAAAAGAUUUUUAUUUUUGCCCCAUCUCCAAUUUUGCUUAGGCUCUGGAAUACAAUGCUCCCACUGAGAUUAGAUUACUAUAUAUAAUUCUUGUUUCUGAGGCAGCCUUUAGACACAAUAUGGAAACAAAACCUCCAUAUUGUGGCUGUUUCAUUUGUAGCUCAAUUUUAAGUACUAGUUUUGGCUUACCAAUUUUAGCCAACAUUCAGACCCCAUCAGUUGCAAAGGAUGCCCCUAUUUUUUUUCUGCCUGGAAUAUAAACUCCAGGGCUUUGAGGGUCAGCAAUGCGAAGGGUCAAGUUGAAAACACAGUUUUUCAGUCAUGAUCUCACGUCGGUAGAAUAAACUUCCAACUGGGUUUGGCAAACUGCUUAUUGCCUGUUUUUAAUGGAGUGGUUGCUUAUUUGUUUAUGGGUUGUAAUGUUUUUCUAGGUCAGACAUUUAAAUUGCCUGUUUGUAGCCCUGGUUUGUGUUAAGGCUUUGUUGUUUGCAUUAUCUGGAAGGAAAAAAAACCACAGAAGUUUUUCUGGCUUCCAGGUGGCUUAGCCAACUUUUGAAGAUGCCAAGAAUUUGUACCAAGCUGCUUUAGAAACUGUGAGGAAAAAAAAAAAAGGAGGGAAUGGCAUCAGUACAUCUCUUUCCAUUAGCAAAUUCUGCUUUUUGAGUUUCUGGCCCUUCACUGCAAAACCUUCACUGUAAAAUCCGGAAUAUGGUGCUGUCAGGAUAGACACAUCUUAAUUAGAGGCAUAAUUCUCUCUUUCCACAGCAUCUAUUUAUUUUUGUCCCUUGAUGCAUUCAGCCUUGUCUGUUAGUUCCUCCUGCCUUACUCCAUCUCCUUCCUAGAGAGUCAUCAACUGUGUAAUGGAGGCUGUUCCAGUCUCAGACCACCACCCCUUCCUUUUUAGCCAAGGCAUCUUUCUGAUUCUCCAGCUGUGAGAAUCUUGUCCUCGGCACAAGAUUGGAGGGGGGGGGGAGUAAUUUGGGAUGUUUAUCUGUCUGAAUGUAUUGUAGAGUUUAAACAUUUUGUCUCCAGCUGCCUCUGCUGUGUUGCCUGUCAGCUAAAUAAUGUUUAAAGUGAAUAUUCUUCAACUCCGUAAAACAACAGCAAAGCAAAAACAUCUUAUGCAAUAAAAGCAAUAGCAUAUAAA